GAUGAAGAACGUAGCGAAAUGCGAUAAGUAAUGUGAAUUGCAGAAUUCAGUGAAUCAUCGAAUCUUUGAACGCACAUUGCGCCCGCCAGUAUUCUGGCGGGCAUGCCUGUCUGAGCGUCAUUUCAACCCUCAUGCCCCUAGGGCGUGGUGUUGGGGAUCGGCCAAAGCCCGCGAGGGACGGCCGGCCCCUAAAUCUAGUGGCGGACCCGUCGUGGCCUCCUCUGCGAAGUAGUGAUAUUCCGCAUCGGAGAGCCACGAGCCCCUGCCGUUAAACCCCCAACUUUCCAAGGUUGACCUCAGAUCAGGUAGGAAUACCCGCUGAACUUAAGUAUAUCAAUAAGCGGAGGA
rnacentral:misc_RNA from 1 species